rnacentral:rRNA from 1 species
GACAAACCGGAGGAAGGUGGGGAUGACGUCAAGUCAUCAUGGCCUUACGGCCUGGGCUACACACGUGCUACAAUGGUCGGUACAAAGGGUUGCCAAGCCGCGAGGUGGAGCUAAUCCCAUAAAACCGAUCGUAGUCCGGAUCGCAGUCUGCAACUCGACUGCGUGAAGUCGGAAUCGCUAGUAAUCGUGAAUCAGAAUGUCACGGUGAAUACGUUCCCGGGCCUU